UUAAAGUAGUAAGGGCGCAGGGUGGAUGCCUUGGCACUAAGAGCCGAUGAAAGACGUGAUAAGCUGCGAAAAGCUUCGGGGAGGAGCACAUAUCCAAUGAUCCGGAGAUAUCUGAAUGGGGAAACCCGGCAGAGGAAACCUCUGUCAGCAUGUAGUGAAUCCAUAGCUGCAUGUGGGGAACCCGGGGAACUGAAACAUCUAAGUACCCGGAGGAAGAGAAAGAAAAUUUAUCGAUUUCCAAAGUAGCGGCGAGCGAAAUGGAAGGAGCCCAAACCGUGGUGCGUGCAUCACGGGGUUCGGACUGCGACAUGAGAGACGUAAGAUAGGAGAACGGACUGGGAAGUCCGGCCGGAGAGAGUGAAAGCCUCGUAUCCGAAAUCCCAAGUCAUCUAGCAGGAUCCAGAGUAGGACGAGACACGAGAAACCUUGUCUGAAGGAGCGGGGACCACCCCGUAAGGCUAAAUACUUCUUAGUGACCGAUAGCGCAUAGUACUGUGAAGGAAAGGUGAAAAGUACCCCGGGAGGGGAGUGAAAGAGAACCUGAAACCCUGUGUCUACAAGCUGUGGGACCUCUUUAUAUGAGGGACUGCGUACUUUUUGUAGAACGGUCCGGCGAGUUGUGCGUACUGGCGAGGUUAAGGACUUAAGGUCCGGAGCCGAAGUGAAAGCAAGCGUUAAGAGCGCGGUAAGUCAGUGAGUGCAGACCCGAAACCGGGUGACCUAUCCAUGUCCAGGUUGAAGCUUCCGUAAGAGGAAGUGGAGGACCGAACCCACAUCCGUUGAAAAGGGUGGGGAUGAGGUGUGGAUAGCGGAGAAAUUCCAAUCGAACCCGGAGAUAGCUGGUUCUCCUCGAAAUAGCUUUAGGGCUAGCCUCAUGAGAGUCUUAUGGAGGUAGAGCACUGAAUUGCCUAGGGGGCGUCAAAGCUUACCAAAGCAUAUCAAACUCCGAAUGCCAUCAAGAUGAUUCAUGGGAGUCAGACCAUACGAGAUAAGUUGGAUGGUCAAAAGGGAAAGAGCCCAGACCUACAGCUAAGGUCCCAAAGUGCGUGUUAAGUGGAAAAGGAUGUGGGGAUUCUAAGACAACUAGGACGUUGGCUUAGAAGCAGCCAUUCAUUGAAAGAGUGCGUAAUAGCUCACUAGUCGAGAGUCCCUGCGCCGAAAAUGUCCGGGGCUGAAACACGACACCGAAGCUUAGGAAUGUGUAAACAUUGGUAGAGGAGCAUUGCUAGCGGGAUGAAGCCAUACCGUAAGGAGUGGUGGACUGCUAGGAAGAGAGAAUGCCGGAAUGAGUAGCGAGAUGAAGGUGAGAAUCCUUCAGGCCGAAUAUCUAAGGUUUCCAGAGUAAAGCUGAUCUGCUCUGGGUAAGUCGGGACCUAAGGCGAGGUCGAAAGACGUAGUCGAUGGAUAACAGGUUGAAAUUCCUGUACCGCAUAUAAACAGAACUGUGGGGACACAGACAGGGAAUGGAAUCCGGGAGUGGAUAUCCCGGUGCAAGCGAGGUAGGAGUGCUGUUGGCAAAUCCGCAGCACGAUCUGAAGACGUGACGCGUACCGAACAUAAGUAGGGAAGUCCAGGCCCCUGGCUGUCAAGAAAAGCCGCUAUUGUUUUAUAUGUGCCCGUACCGCAAACCGACACAGGUGGAUGAGGAGAGAAUCCUAAGGCCGACGGGAGAAGUAUUGUUAAGGAACUCGGCAAAAUGACUCCGUAACUUCGGGAGAAGGAGUGCCAUGAGAGUGGCCGCAGAGAAAUGGCCCAAGCAACUGUUUAGCAAAAACACAGGUCUAUGCAAAACCGCAAGGUGAAGUAUAUGGGCUGACGCCUGCCCGGUGCUGGAAGGUUAAGGGGAGAGGUUAGCGCAAGCGAAGCUUUGAACUUAAGCCCCAGUAAACGGCGGCCGUAACUAUAACGGUCCUAAGGUAGCGAAAUUCCUUGUCGGGUAAGUUCC
rnacentral:rRNA from 1 species